UGUGUAGGCGGUGCUCUAAGUCUGUCGUGAAAUCUCCCGGCUCAACUGGGAGGGUGCGGCGGAAACUGGAGUGCUCGAGGGAUGGAGAGGUAAGCGGAAUUCCUGGUGUAGCGGUGAAAUGCGUAGAUAUCAGGAGGAACACCUGUGGUGUAGACAGCUUACUGGACAUCUUCUGACGCUGAGACACGAAAGCGUGGGUAGCAAACAGGAUUAGAUACCCUGGUAGUCCACGCCCUAAACGAUGCAUACUUGGUGUGAGCGAUUCAUUUCGUUCGUGCCGGAGCUAACGCGUUAAGUAUGCCGCCUGGGGAGUACGGUCGCAAGGCUGAA
rnacentral:rRNA from 1 species